rnacentral:rRNA from 1 species
AACGCAAAUUGCACUCCCUGGCAUUCCGGGGAGUAUGCCUGUUUGAGGGUCGUUAGAAUAAAAAUCGAGGCGUCGCUCUUUUUUUUAAGGGUGAUCGCGUCGGAAUUGAGCCGUCUUUCAAAUGUUAAUUCAUGUCAAAGUGGCUUAAAAUUCAUCCAUCCGGUACGAUUAAAGCGUAUUUAAGAUCAAUUUUGAUUAAGAACGCGCGAUGACGUACCAUCUCAUGUAGUAUGUUUGACCUGUCGUCGUCAGGAUCAUUCGUAUACGAUACUCAAACUUUUGACCUCAAAUCAGGUAAGAAUACCCGCUGAACUUAA